AAUUAUUAUUAUUACCAUUUCAACAAACUUGGAAUCAAUCCUCACCAAGUACAAGAAAAGAUAUCCCUGCUCAAAUGAAACAGAAUUAUUGACACCUGCCUGACUUUCUCUUGUUUUUUUUAUUUCCUUUAAUGGAAUAGAACGAGGCCUUGCAGUCUUAGCAGUCAUGUCCAGAAAUGCUAAAUAAUGCUCUGUUUCAUUACGAUCCUCAGGCUGUCAUGAAGAGAGACCCGCUGAUAUUUCACUGUUAGAAAAAAUAAACCUGGCUAAUUGGUAUGCAUUUUCCGUGCUGUGCAAAAUUAAUUAUUUAUGGGAGUGAGGAGCAAGAAGGCUUAGAAGACCCGCAUCCCUUUGGGAUGAGUCACAUAGUUGUUGGAGUUUGAUUGCCAUGUGUGGAUAAUGUUUUGUUAAAGGGCCUAAUCAGCUAUUGACCAAAUAAAUAGAAAAAAUUCCAAUAAAUGACACAAACAUAUUCAAGCAUUAAAAAAGGCCAAUGUAAAAAUGUAACAGGCAGCGGUUACUCACUAUUGCCUCUUGAUUUACAAGCGGUAUUACAAGAUAGGUAAUCAGUUACUGUCAGCAAACAUUUUUAAAAUAGCUUGAAAAAAAGUUUUAAAAAAUAUCAAUCUUUUUUUUUUUUAAACGGUCAAAUAUUCUUCCGAAAGAAAAAUCACAAGAUGUGAAAAAAAAAAAAAGUUAAAAAUGUGUCAAUGUUUUGGAAAAUAUGGAAAAAAUCCAAAUGUUUUAAAAAAAGGCCUAACGAAAGCAAAUUCGUUUGGUCAAAAAAUGUAAAAAAUAAAAAUAAAAAAUUAUGGAGGAAAAAAGUUUGAAAAAAUGAGGUCGGAAAAUGAUUAAAAAAAAUAAGUUGAUAUACAUUAUGUAAAAAGAAGUAGAUAAUAGGAAUGAUUUUAGAAAUUAGUCUAAAUAUGUCAGGUCAGAAAAUUGUCAUUUGUGUAAAAAUAUUUUUUUUGAAAGAAAAGUUUAAAAAAAUGUGUUGGAUACGAUAUGAUGAGAUGAGAUAAAGAUGUGUAGCAGGUUUUCAAAAAUGUAAAAAAAAUAAGGCUAAAGGCCCAGUGGUAUUUGAGCAGUAUACGCUAAAGCAAACAUCCUUAUGUUCACUCAUGUGCAUCGUGUCAAGCUAAGAAUAAGUGUAAAGCUUCACAGAGCCUCAGCUUAACAUCGGCCCUGUUGCAGCGUGUGGUAAAUACCAUUAUGACAGCAAGAGACCACCCCAUUAGCCAUAGCAGUAGACUAUCUCCUUCUAUCUCUAAUAGCGAUUGUGAAGCUUAAUUGUUUCCCAGACCAUCAAACAGUUUGAGUUGCCAUCUGUAAAAAGAAGAUUGCCAUAAUGUAUCUGCAUGGUGCAACAACACAGUCACCCGUUGUUCUCCACAAGCAAACAGACACUGUUUGCUAUGUAAACCGGCCUAUGAAGCUAUGGGGGAAAUUAAUUGCACCUUUUGUAAUGUAAUUAAAAAAGAUGUUUACAUUACUCAGUUAAAUCAUUAGCCUUCUGCUGAUGAUGGCACGUUUGACGUAUUUUGGCUACCGUAUGGUGUGCCAUUGAUAUAUAAAAGUGAUAUCAUCAAUGUCAUAUUUGUGACUCCCUCUGUGAAUCUCCAUGUAUGACCUUUCAAAUAGCCAACAAUUUCAACAAGCUGUCUGUCCACAUUUUGCUUUCACCAUGUAGACAUCCACUGAUUCAUACUAUCUAGGUCUUAAAUUAGUCCGAGCCUCACAAAGUAAUAACUGGACCCCUAAAUGGCAUUCGAUCCUAUAUGUAAGCUUGAUUGACGAGCCCGCUUAAUGUACAACUUCUGGAUUAUUCAUUUUGUGAGAUGACGCCGUAGAAAAUAUAUUUUUCAAUCAAGAAACUUGCACUAGGCUCAAUCGGGCCCCUUGUUUAGCGAGAGGGAGCGGCAAUUACAUGUUGUGGUGAUCGUCUCCCUGUACGGUUCUGUAAGGUUGUAACUCAAGCUUUGUCUUGAUCUUUAAAGAUAAGGAAAGCUGCCUCAUCUGCUAAAAGCCAAUGAAAAAUAUAAAUCUACUACUUUACGUCAGCAAAAAAGCCCUGCUCAAGAAAAGUAGAGUAACACAAUAAACCGCCUGUGCCUCCGAGUAUCAUCUAAAUCAUCACUCACCUCAGUGUGGUUUACUAGUACAUUUUGCAAUUUCAAGCAAAUCGUGAUUAAUUCUAAUAAAUCCGGAAUGACUGUUGCUUUAUCUAAUAUUCUAAAGGAAUAGCUGUUUAGCAACCACCAAUAUUUGCUCGUCC
ensembl:lncRNA